rnacentral:rRNA from 1 species
AUUGAACGCUGGCGGUAGGCCUAACACAUGCAAGUCGAACGCGAAAGUCCUUCGGGAGUGAGUAGAGUGGCGGACGGGUGAGUAACGCGUAGGAAUCUAUCCUGUAGUGGGGGAGUAACGUUUCGAAAGGAACGCUAAUACCGCAUACGUUCUGAGGAAGAAAGCAGGGACCGCAAGGCCUUGCGCUAUCAGAUGAGCCUGCGUCCGAUUAGCUAGUUGGUAGGGUAAAGGCCUACCAAGGCGACGAUCGGUAACUGGUCUGAGAGGAUGAUCAGUCACACUGGAACUGAGACACGGUCCAGACUCCUACGGGAGGCAGCAGUGGGGAAUAUUGGACAAUGGGGGCAACCCUGAUCCAGCCAUGCCGCGUGUGUGAAGAA